rnacentral:lncRNA from 1 species
ACUCCACUGUCAGCAGUGAUGAGCAUUUCUAUUAAACUGUGUAGCAAUUAAUUUGAUAUAUCAGGUACCAUCUGACUGUUCCUUGUUUAUUUCUGCAGUGCCCAAGGAUCCAUUUGCAGCAGCAGGAAGAUUGCUGUGUUGAACUCAGGCCAGCUUCUUCCUAGCCUUUGUCUGUGAUUUUUGUGAACUACUUUCUUCAUCACAAGCAGUCAAUUCCAGGUCUGAGCAACCUGUGCACAGCAGGAGAAACAUGGAGAGAAUGUCCUGUCUUGGAUGGCAUUGUUUCACAGCUGGAAUGGGAGAAAAGCAACCCCUGCCACCCCCUGCCACGUACAGAUCCUAGGCUGGAUCUGUCACCUUACUGGGGUAUGGCUGAGGAUAUUGGAGGUUAAGGAAUUCCAUUGUCUCAAUAAACAUGUGCACUGAAGCAGAGCUGCACAUUCUCAUUCACCAUGGGCUCAGGUUUCGGACCGUCUGCCCGAAGGGGAAAUUUAUCCUGGCAACCGCUGAAAGGGGAACGCGUGUGGAUUGGCACCGGUUUGUGCAUUAAAAAAAUUAAUUUUUUUUUUUUA